UGGGGAAUAUUGGACAAUGGGCGCAAGCCUGAUCCAGCAAUGCCGCGUGAGUGAUGAAGGCCUUAGGGUUGUAAAGCUCUUUCGGCGGGGAAGAUGAUGACGGUACCCGCAGAAGAAGCCCCGGCUAACUUCGUGCCAGCAGCCGCGGUAAUACGAAGGGGGCUAGCGUUGUUCGGAAUUACUGGGCGUAAAGGGCGCGUAGGCGGCGCGUUAAGUCAGGUGUGAAAGCCCUGGGCUCAACCCAGGAAUUGCACUUGAUACUGACGUGCUUGAAUCCGGAAGAGGAUGACGGAAUUCCCAGUGUAGAGGUGAAAUUCAUUGAUAUUGGGAAGAACACCAGUGGCGAAGGCGGUCAUCUGGUCCGGUAUUGACGCUGAGGCGCGAAAGCGUGGGGAGCAAACAGGAUUAGAUACCCUGGUAGUCCACGCCGUAAACGAUGAGUGCUAGACGUCGGGGGGUUGCCUCUCGGUGUCGCCGCUAACGCAUUAAGCACUCCG
rnacentral:rRNA from 1 species